GGCCGUGUGGCGUAAUGGCAACGCGUCUGACUACGAAAGGAUAAUCAGGAGAUUGCAGGUUCGACCCCUGUCUCGGUCA
rnacentral:tRNA from 1 species